rnacentral:rRNA from 1 species
GACCUCAGAUCAGGCAAGGCUACCCGCUGAAUUUAAGCAUAUCAAUAAGCGGAGGAAAAGAAACUAACAAGGAU